CCUACGGGUGGCAGCAGUGGGGGAUAUUGGACAAUGGGGGGAACCCUGAUCCAGCGACGCCGCGUGAGUGAAGAAGUAUCUCGGUAUGUAAAGCUCUAUCAGCAGGGAAGAAGAAAUGACGUUACCUGAGUAAGAAGCCCCGGCUAACUACGGGCCAGCAGCCGCGGUAAUACGUAGGGGGCAAGCGUUAUCCGGAAUUACUGGGUGUAAAGGGAGCGUAGACGGUGAUGUAAGUCUGGAGUGAAAUCCCGGGGCUUAACCCCGGAACUGCUUUGGAAACUGUGCGGCUGGAGUGCAGGAGGGGUAAGCGGAAUUCGUAGUGUAGCGGUGAAAUGCGUAGAUAUUAGGAGGAACACCGGUGGCGAAGGCGGCAUACUGGACUGUAACUGACGUUGAGGCUCGAAAGCGUGGGGAGCAAACAGGAUUAGAUACCCGGGUAGUC
rnacentral:rRNA from 1 species